rnacentral:rRNA from 1 species
UAAGCAUAUCAAUAAGCGGAGGAAAAGAAACCAACAGGGAUUGCCCUAGUAACGGCGAGUGAAGCGGCAACAGCUCAAAUUUGAAAUCUGGCCUUCGGGUCCGAGUUGUAAUUUGUAGAGGAUGCUUUUGGCGCGGUGCCUUCCGAGUUCCCUGGAACGGGACGCCUUAGAGGGUGAGAGCCCCGUACGGUUGGACACCAAGCCUCUGUAAAGCUCCUUCGACGAGUCGAGUAGUUUGGGAAUGCUGCUCUAAAUGGGAGGUAAAUUUCUUCUAAAGCUAAAUACCGGCCAGAGACCGAUAGCGCACAAGUAGAGUGAUCGAAAGAUGAAAAGCACUUUGAAAAGAGGGUUAAAUAGCACGUGAAAUUGUUGAAAGGGAAGCGUUUACGGCCAGACCUUUUCCUGGCGGAUCAUCUGGUGUUCUCACCAGUGCACUCCGCCAGGUUUAGGCCAGCAUCGGCUCCCGUAGGGGGAUAAAAGCAGUGGGAAAGUAGCUCCCUCGGGAGUGUUAUAGCCCGCUGCACAAUACCCUUACAGGGGCCGAGGACCGCGCUUUUGCAAGGAUGCUGGCGUAAUGGUCGUCAACGACCCGUC